AGUGAACGCUGGCGGUAGGCCUAACACAUGCAAGUCGAACGGCAGCACAGUAAGAGCUUGCUCUUACGGGUUGCGAGUGGCGGACGGGAGAGGAAUACAUCGGAAUCUACUUUUUCGUGGGGGAUAACGUAGGGAAACUUACGCUAAUACAGCAUACGACCUACGGGUGAAAGCAGGGGAUCUUCGGACCUUGCGCGAUUGAAUGAGCCGAUGUCGGAUUAGCUAGUUGGCGGGGUAAAGGCCCACCAAGGCGACGAUCCGUAGCUGGUCUGAGAGGAUGAUCAGCCACACUGGAACUGAGACACGGUCCAGACUCCUACGGGAGGCAGCAGUGGGGAAUAUUGGACAAUGGGCGCAAGCCUGAUCCAGCCAUACCGCGUGGGUGAAGAAGGCCUUCGGGUUGUAAAGCCCUUUUGUUGGGAAAGAAAAGCAGCAGGUUAAUACCCCGCUGUUCUGACGGUACCCAAAGAAUAAGCACCGGCUAACUUCGUG
rnacentral:rRNA from 1 species